rnacentral:tRNA from 1 species
GCCAGUGUGGUGUAGUGGUUUGAGCACAGGACUAUGGCUCUAGAGACCAGGGUUCAAAUCCCUGUUUGGUA